rnacentral:rRNA from 1 species
AGCAGCCGCGGUAAUUCCAGCUCCAAUAGCGUAUAUUAAAGUUGUUGCAGUUAAAAAGCUCGUAGUUGAAUUUCGGGGUUAGCAGGUCGGUCGUGCCAUCGGUAUGAACUGGUCUCGCUGAUCCCUCCCUCUUGACGAACUGUGAUGCCAUUAAUUUGGUGUCGCAGGGAAUCAGGACUGUUACUUUGAAAAAAUUAGAGUGUUUAAAGCAGGCUCACGCUUGAAUACAUUAGCAUGGAAUAAUGAAAUAGGACGUUUGACCCUAUUUUGUUGGCUUCUAGGAUUGACGUAAUGAUUAAUAGGGAUAGUUGGGGGCAUUAGUAUUCAAUUGUCAGAGGUGAAAUUCUUGGAUUUAUUGAAGACUAACUACUGCGAAAGCAUUUGCCAAGGAUGUUUUCAUUAAUCAAGAACGAAAGUUAGGGGAUCGAAGACGAUCAGAUACCGUCGUAGUCUUAACCAUAAACUAUGCCGACUAGGGAUCGGAUGAUGUUAAUUUUUUAAUGACUCAUUC